GAAAUGCGAUAAGUAAUGUGAAUUGCAGAAUUCAGUGAAUCAUCGAAUCUUUGAACGCACCUUGUGCUCCUUGGUAUUCCUUGUAGCAUGCCUGUUUGAGUAUCAUGAAAUCUUCAAAGUAAAUCUUUUGUUAACUCAAUUGGUUUCUACUUUGGUAUUGGAGGUCUUUGCAGCUUCACACCUGCUCCUCUUUGUUCAUUAGCUGGAUCUCAGUGUUAUGCUUGGUUCCACUCGGCGUGAUAAGUUAUCUAUCGCUGAGGACACUGUAAAAGGUGGCCAAGGUAAAUGCAGAUGAACCGCUUCUAAUAGUCCAUUGACUUGGACAAUACUUUUAUGAUCUGAUCUCAAAUCAGGUAGGACUACCCGCUGAACUUAAGC
rnacentral:misc_RNA from 1 species